CCUCUCUGACAGCUGAGUCUAAAAGACCAGAAAGAAUAGAGGUAGAAUAACAGGAAACAUGUUACCGUAGCAAACGAGGAAAUUCACAUGUAUGCAGGCUAUGAUGGAAACCACCGUAUUCUUACAGCCUACAAAAUAAACAGAGAAGAGGUCCUCUCUUGCUCUCUUCCCAGGGCCAUCAUUCCCCUGGCUCCAUUCAUUCCCCUCUGACUUCUCUUCACGGGCAUUUGUCAGUAUGAUUCUCACAAACUACUCCUUGUUGACGGAAACUCCAUUUUCCAUACCCAAGAAAACAUUCUCCAAGGUUAAAGGACCGUCAUAUGGAUCUUCCUAGUGUUUUACAACCUGAAAUCUGAUUGUUCAACAUCUGCCCUUUUAUAUCUUUUAACUGUUCUCGUUAAUAUAUACCCAGAGUAAAAAUAAUCCAAACAAGACAGAAAAGGACAAGAGAAUAAGAAUCAUCUGAAACCCACCAUUCAUAAAUGACCGCUUUUAAUGUUUUGAUGGACAUCCUUCCAUAAAUACACAUAGUAGAUUAGCCCUGAGCUAACUACUGCCAGUCCUCCUCUUUUUUGCUGAGGAAGUUUGGACCUGAGCUAACAUCGUGCCCAUCUUCCUCUACUUCAUAUGUGGGACGCCUACCACAGCAUGGUGUGCCAAGCAGUGCCAUGUCCACACCUGGGAUCCGAACUGGCGAACCCCGGGCCGCUGAGAAGCGGAACGUGUGAACUUAACCGCUGCGCCACCAGACCACAGUGGAUGGCGGGUGACUGAAACGACGGAAAGAGAAACCGCGGAUGAGGGGGGACCACUGUACCUAUCUUCCAGCUUCUCUGGAGCCUAGCAAGGUCUGAGCUCACAGGCACUGCAGAAAGAUUAACAGGCUCCGCUGCAGCAGAACCAUCCCUGACAUGGCUCGCUUUCUCCAUAUUUUCCAAUAAAAGAAACAAAACCAAGCACCCUCAGGACCAGCAGCUAACAACGAACAUACUGGGACUUUUCCUUAGGUUCGCCCUACAUCUCUGCAUUGCAAAUGAAG
rnacentral:lncRNA from 1 species